GGAUCAAUUAAUCGGUCGUGCCUCUGGUACGUACUGGUUUUAUUGGUUCCUCCCUUCUGACGAAACACGAUGUCAUUAAUUUGGUGUCGUGGAGAAUCAGGACUGUUACCUUGAAAAAAUUUUAAGAGUGUUUAUAGCAGGCUAACGCUUGAAUACAUUAGCAUGGAAUAAUGAAAUAGGACGUUCGACCCUAUUUUGUUGGUUUCUAGGAUCGACGUAAUG
rnacentral:rRNA from 1 species